GCGCCUUCCUAUGAGUUUCAAUUUCUUAAUAGAUACUCAAAAUCAUAUUUCUGAGAGCUUACUUGGAGGUGUGGAGAAAAAGCUAGACAAUUUUAGGACCUUCCAUGCAAGUUCCUUAGGUGCUGGCAUAUUUUAGGCCAUUUCGAAGAGUUUCGGUUGAUUUUGUCGCAAUUGUUCACUUGGCUUGUGGAUGCUCUUAUGCAGCAACCAUGCUAUAGUACUUGUCUUUCCCUCAUACUUACAAAACUUGUGCCCAAACUCUCUAGCCAGUAGUCUCGCGAAGAAAAUUUUAAAUUUUACGGGAGCUUGGGGCUAAUGUGUUACACUGAUCACAAGUCAUAAUCAAGCUGCAAUGCGUCCUUGCCAGUUGAAGUUUUAGCAUUGUUUUCGGGAGGCUAAUUCGGUGGCUGACAGAUUGUCUAACAUGGUUAUUGGGAUUGGCUUGGGCGUUCAUUUCUUUUCUGAGCAUCCGGAUGAGGUGUUGAGUUUUCUUCAGUCUGAUGCUCGUAGGGUUGCUUGGCCGAGGCUGACGCGGAUUUCUAGUUGAUUUGUUCCUCCUGUUUUCUUUGGACUUUCUUCCUCCUUUGUAUCCAAAAAAAAAAAAAUGAUGCCAAUUGCAAUGAGAAAACUAUGAGCAAUCCAACAAGAAGGAAGCACCGGAUCGCAUAAAGAUUUGGCUAGCCUUGUCGAAAAGCUUCCCGGCUUCCUCCACAAAGGCUAGAUCUUUGCGUUGUAAUAAAUAUAAGUUGCAGAGUGGACCAAUAAACAAUCAUUUUCCCUGCACAGUGAUUGAUUAUAAAACGUUGUAAUUUACUAUUAAAAUCAUUAAUCUACUAAAAGCAACUGUUUGGU
rnacentral:misc_RNA from 1 species